rnacentral:rRNA from 1 species
GACGAACGCUGGCGGCGUGCUUAACACAUGCAAGUCGAACGGAAAGGCCUGCUUACCCUUGUGGAUUGCGGGUACUCGAGUGGCGAACGGGUGAGUAACACGUGAGUGAUCUGCCCCCAACUUGGGUAUAAGCCUGGGAAACUGGGUCUAAUUCCCGAUAGGACUGCAGGGUGGUGCCUGUGGUGGAAAACGAUUUUCUAGUGGUUGGGGAUGAGCUCGCGGCCUAUCAGCUUGUUGGUGGGGUAAUGGCCUACCAAGGCGGCGACGGGUAGCCGGCCUGAGAGGGUGGACGGCCACAUUGGGACUGAGAUACGGCCCAGACUCCUACGGGAGGCAGCAGUGGGGAAUAUUGCACAAUGGGCGGAAGCCUGAUGCAGCGACGCCGCGUGGGGGAUGACGGCCUUCGGGUUGUAAACUCCUUUCGACCGCGAGGAAGCCACCUGGUUGGAAGGGUGGUGACGGUAGUGGUAGAAGAAGCACCGGCUAACUACGUG